ACCGAAAAAAAUGAAUACAAACACGCACAUAACAACCGAUAUAAGCCACCAAUUUUGAAUGAGAUUUUGGGUCUUUCACGCAGUCAUUCAGUCUCUAAUAUGCGGUUUGACUUUUCCACUAAAACGAGAUGCAGAUAUAUUAAACCGAACGUGCCACAGAGAGUCGACAAAAGAUAGUUACACGUAGGUGCAAUUGAACAUUUCAUGUGCUUUGUGGUGGACUGACAAACCGACACACGGGGAUCACAUUACAAUUUAUACAUUCGAAACCGUGACAAUGUCCACUUUGAACACUUCAUUUAAAUUUCAUUUUGGACACAUUUAACAGAGAGAAAAACAAUAUUGUUGAACAGCUUGCUGCACUACAACACCAAAGAGCAACUACAGUACUACCAGCUAUUACGUACAAUUUACCACAUAUCCGUUUAUGAUAUGAAGUCGGGAAUGUUUUGUGUAUACAUGUAUCGCGAAUUUUGUCAGAAUAUGAUCUAUAGAUUUCGGUUAAGAGCAUCUCUGCUCUAUUGUCUCGUAUGGCCAACGGCAAUGAAGCUACCAUUCUUAGAAACAUCUCGACUCUUGUGUGAAGAGAAAAAGAAGAAGAAAAAUUGAAGAUGCCCCUCAUCGAUCGCCACUUUCAAAGCCAACCAAGCUAGAUCAUAUCAAUUGUUCAAUGAAUAACAAGCCGACGAUUUGCUGUGUUGAAGCUUCAUCAUUACAGUAUUUUCUUCUUUUUUUUAUUAUUCAAUAAAUGUACAUUCACAUCGAUCAUUGUACUCAUUUCGCCAAAUUGUGAACGAUCGGUAACAAUGCUGAAACCGUUUUGUUCAUUCAAAAUAAACAAAAAAUUGUCUUAUUAUUAUCGCGUUUUUAUUUAUGGCUUAUUUUGAUUGAACAACAAG